GAGGUGGGAAAAAUUGCAGUCCUAUUAAUAGCCAGACUUGACCUGCUUACAUUAAGACACUUGAUUCUCACUAUAGUGGGUCUCAGUUAAGUUCCUGGUCGCAAUCUAUGUGCUCACAGGAAGUGUGACAAGAGUAAGGAAUGAGUACAUGUAUGAACCAUGCGCGCCAUGAACUAAAUCUCAAAUCCUUCUCAUCAGACUGAGUAACAUAUACAGUUAUACACAGCAAAUAAACUUCAUCUAGACAGCUGAACUUCUACACUGUUAUCACAACUGGACUCCAGGAAAUAAUUGUAGUUGCCACAAUGGACACAAAUGGGACUGUCACUAUAAAUGUGACAUACACAGUGGAAUCUAGCCCUACCAUCAACCCACCAACCCUGGCACCCCAGUUAAACAAUACUACAGUAUACCAGACCCCAGUACAAAACCAACUGCCAACAGAAAUUAUUAUUGCAAUAGCUGUAGGAGCUGGUGUGUUUUUUAUCCUGGUGAUAGCACUACUUGUACUUAUCAUUUGUCUUCGCAAGAAUAG